CUCUAAUUGAUCAUCUGAGGCGAGCCAUGAGUCAGCCACAGGAGCACAGCUGAAGGCAAUUCACCUGUGCUGCUGGAAGGGGUGGAGCAUGGCUCCACCCCUCCUAGACUUAUUUAAGAGCUGGCUACCAGUGGGGAAGGAUCUUGUCUGGAGAUCCCCUCUUCUGAUGUUUUUUGUAGGUGAGCCUGGCAUGUGGUUUUUGCCACUGCUUUUCAAGACAGAGAAUUACUGGAGUAAUAAAAAUGAAGUUGACAUACUGCAAUACAUUAACAGGUUUCUUCAUCUGUGGAUGGAAAAGCACUUGGCACUUUUGAACACAUUGGUUGACAAUGCAAUACUGAAACAGUCACCAAUCCCCAAUACUCUCUAGAAUUUCAAAGAUGUGUUCUAAAUGAGGGCUGAGGAGUGCCUUAGUGCCUUAAUAGUUAGCCUUGUGAAACUGAAAAAAAAAAGUGGAAAGUAAAAGGAAAUGCAUAUCUGAUUUGUACAUGUGUUUUGUAGUACUAGUAAUUUUGAUCUAUCUUUUAAGCAUAUUAAAUUUCUGGGCUAGAGAUUAUCCAUGUCUUGUUUGUAUAGUAAGGAAGAUUACUAAAUGGGAUCUUUAUAUAAAAAUACAGCAUGAAGAUGUAAAAAAGUGUUUUUUGUUGUUCAUUUUGAACAGAAGAUCCCAAGACUUUUACAUGUUACAUACAACAGUAACUGCAACUGUUUUAGAGCAGCAGGGAGGCAUUCCUGAAAUGCUCUGUAAAAUACUUAAAUAAUAUCUGCACUCAGAAUGUAAACAUAGAAAGGAGGCAGCUUAUAGAGAACCUGCAAUUGUUAGCUUAGGAAGCUUAUGCACAUUAUUUUUUCUAUUCUUCAGCAUGAAGACUUGUUAUCACAGUACAAUUCCCAAUUCACAUAAUCUUAUAUUUACAUUUAUAUUCCCAGACUACAUAUAGUCCAGAAGCUUACUAUAAUUGUGUAGGGUGACACUUCUUUUCAUGGGUAGUAAAAUGAAAUGCAUGUUACCUGCUGGUCUGCAGGCUGUAGCAGAUCUGCUAACUGUGAGAAGCCACUGCCUAUGGAAUGAUUAACACUGAGCUUCUUUCUUCGGUGAAAGUAUGCCACGUGUGAAUAACACUGCAGUCUCUUGCCAUGUUACAUCUAAACUUGUAAUCCCACUAUAUCUUAUCUAACAAUAUACUGCAAAACAGUUAAUGAAAUGGAGAGUAUGAUAAUCAGGGUAGU